rnacentral:rRNA from 1 species
AGAGUUUGAUCCUGGCUCAGAUUGAACGCUGGCGGAAUGCUUUACACAUGCAAGUCGAACGGCAGCACGGGAGCUUGCUCCUGGUGGCGAGUGGCGAACGGGUGAGUAAUGCGUCGGAACGUACCGAGUAAUGGGGGAUAACGCASCGAAAGKUGUGCUAAUACCGCAUACGCCCUGAGGGGGAAAGCRGGGGAUCGUAAGACCUYGCGUUAUUCGAGCGGCCGACGUCUGAUUAGCUAGUUGGUGRGGUAAWGGCYYACCAAGGCGACGAUCAGUAGCGGGUCUGAGAGGAUGAUCCGCCACACUGGRACUGAGACACGGYCCAGACUCCUACGGGAGGCAGCAGUGGGGAAUUUUGGACAAUGGGGGCAACCCUGAUCCAGCCAUUCCGCGUGAGUGAAGAAGGCCUUCGGGUUGUAAAGCUCUUUCAGCWGGAACGAAACGGURCGCUCUAACAUAGCGUGCUAAUGACGGUACCWGCAGAAGAAGCACCGGCUAACUACGUGCCAGCAGCCGCGGUAAUACGUAGGGUGCGAGCGUUAAUCGGAAUUACUGGGCGUAAAGCGUGCGCAGGCGGAUUGUUAAGCAAGACGUGAAAUCCCCGGGCUUAACCUGGGAAUGGCGUUUUGAACUGGCAGUCUAGAGUGUGUCAGAGGGGGGURGAAUUCCACGUGUAGCAGUGAAAUGCGUAGAGAUGUGGAGGAAYACCAAUGGCGAAGGCAGCCCCCUGGGAURACACUGACGCUCAUGUACGAAAGCGUGGGUAGCAAACAGGAUUAGAUACCCUGGUAGUCC